ACAGAGGAAAAAGUGAAGCUGCCAGCAUGAUCUAGAUUUGGUUAAGGAGAGCUAGAGAGUGCUAAUUAACCUUGACUAGGUCAUGCUGAGCCAGCCUCACUCCUUCCUAUU
rnacentral:pre_miRNA from 1 species